CAAGAAGUGCUUGGACAAUGCUCUCAGCCACAUGGGUGCGACUCUUGGGGAUAGUCCUGUGUAGGGCUAAGGUUUGGACUUGAUGUUCCUUGUGGGUCCCUUCAAAUUCAGCACAUUCUGUGAUUCUGUGAA